rnacentral:pre_miRNA from 1 species
AUAUGAAUCCCUUGGGGACCUUGUUAAAAUACAGGUUCUGAUUCAGUUAAUCUGGGGUGAGGCCCCAGAUUCUGCAUUUCUGACCAGCUCCCAGGUGAUGUCGAU